CUUGCUUCUCUUGAGAGCGGCGGACGGGUGAGUAAUGCCUAGGAAUCUGCCUGGUAGUGGGGGAUAACGUUCGGAAACGGACGCUAAUACCGCAUACGUCCUACGGGAGAAAGCAGGGGACCUUCGGGCCUUGCGCUAUCAGAUGAGCCUAGGUCGGAUUAGCUAGUUGGUGGGGUAAUGGCUCACCAAGGCGACGAUCCGUAACUGGUCUGAGAGGGUGAUCAGUCACACUGGAACUGAGACACGGUCCAGACUCCUACGGGAGGCAGCAGUGGGGAAUAUUGGACAAUGGGCGAAAGCCUGAUCCAGCCAUGCCGCGUGUGUGAAGAAGGUCUUCGGAUUGUAAAGCACUUUAAGUUGGGAGGAAGGGUUGUAGAUUAAUACUCUGCAAUUUUGACGUUACCGACAGAAUAAGCACCGGCUAACUCUGUGCCAGCAGCCGCGGUAAUACAGAGGGUGCAAGCGUUAAUCGGAAUUACUGGGCGUAAAGCGCGCGUAGGUGGUUUGUUAAGUUGGAUGUGAAAUCCCCGGGCUCAACCUGGGAACUGCAUUCAAAACUGACUGACUAGAGUAUGGUAGAGGGUGGUGGAAUUUCCUGUGUAGCGGUGAAAUGCGUAGAUAUAGGAAGGAACACCAGUGGCGAAGGCGACCACCUGGACUAAUACUGACACUGAGUGCGAAAGCGUGGGGAGCAAACAGGAUUAGAUACCCUGGUAGUCCACGCCGUAAACGAUGUCAACUAGCCGUUGGGAAGCCUUUGAGCUUUUAGUGGCGCAGCUAACGCAUU
rnacentral:rRNA from 1 species